ensembl:miRNA
UGGUUCUGUAAAAUUGGUGCAAAAGUAAUUGCGGUUUUUGUCUUUACUUUCAAAUGUAAAAAUCACAAUUACUUUUGAAGCAAACUAAUAGUU